rnacentral:rRNA from 1 species
ACUCCUACGGGAGGCAGCAGUGGGGAAUUUUGGACAAUGGGCGAAAGCCUGAUCCAGCAAUGCCGCGUGAGUGAAGAAGGCCUUCGGGUUGUAAAGCUCUUUUGUCAGGGAAGAAACGGUGAAAGCUAAUAUCUUUUGCUAAUGACGGUACCUGAAGAAUAAGCACCGGCUAACUACGUGCCAGCAGCCGCGGUAAUACGUAGGGUGCAAGCGUUAAUCGGAAUUACUGGGCGUAAAGCGUGCGCAGGCGGUUUUGUAAGUCUGAUGUGAAAUCCCCGGGCUCAACCUGGGAAUUGCAUUGGAGACUGCAAGGCUAGAAUCUGGCAGAGGGGGGUAGAAUUCCACGUGUAGCAGUGAAAUGCGUAGAUAUGUGGAGGAACACCGAUGGCGAAGGCAGCCCCCUGGGUCAAGAUUGACGCUCAUGCACGAAAGCGUGGGGAGCAAACAGGAUUAGAAACCCUAGUAGUCCCAUGAU